rnacentral:rRNA from 1 species
CCUACGGGGGGCAGCAGUGGGGGAUAUUGCACAAUGGGGGAAACCCUGAUGCAGCGACGCCGCGUGUGGGAAGAAGGUCCUCGGCAUUGUAAACCACUUUUCCCAGGGACGAAGAUGACGGUACCUGGCGAGGAAGCUCCGGCUAACUACGUGCCAGUAGCCGCGUUAAUACGUAGGGACCGAGCGUUUUCCGGAAUUACUGGGUGUAACGGGAGCGUAGGCGGGAAUGCAAGUCGGGGGUGAAAUCUUCCGGCUCAACCCGGGGCCGCACUCAAAACUGCAGGUCUUGAGUGGGGGAGAGGCAGGCGGAAUUCGUAGUGUAGCGGUGAAAUGCGUAGAUAUUAGGAGGAACACCGGUGGCGAAGGCGGCCUGCUGGGCGUUUACUGACGCUGAGGCACGAAAGCGUGGGGAGCGAACAGGAUUAGAUACCCGAGUAGUC